GGGUCGAUGGGGUUGUGGCACCGGAAGUAGCAGUAACUAACUUGCUUCCGCUUUACAGCAGUAGGUCAUCGUAUGUCAUUUCGGUUGAACUGGUUUGUAAUGUUCGUCUGUGUUGUAGCCACAGUGGGUCUCGGCUCCGUAGUAGGCAUAUUCGC
rnacentral:misc_RNA from 1 species